rnacentral:rRNA from 1 species
AGUUUGAUCCUGGCUCAGGAUGAACGCUAGCUACAGGCUUAACACAUGCAAGUCGAGGGGAAACGAUAGAGAAAGCUUGCUUUUUCUAGGCGUCGACCGGCGCACGGGUGAGUAACGCGUAUCCAACCUGCCCAUCACUUGGGGAUAACCUUGCGAAAGUAAGACUAAUACCCAAUGAUAUCUCAAGAAGACAUCUGAAUGAGAUUAAAGAUUUAUCGGUGAUGGAUGGGGAUGCGUCUGAUUAGCUUGUUGGCGGGGUAACGGCCCACCAAGGUUACGAUCAGUAGGGGUUCUGAGAGGAAGGUCCCCCACAUUGGAACUGAGACACGGUCCAAACUCCUACGGGAGGCAGCAGUGAGGAAUAUUGGUCAAUGGGCGAGAGCCUGAACCAGCCAAGUAGCGUGCAGGAUGACGGCCCUAUGGGUUGUAAACUGCUUUUAUAAGGGAAUAAAGUGAGCCUCGUGAGGCUUUUUGCAUGUACCUUAUGAAUAAGGACCGGCUAAUUCCGUGCCAGCAGCCGCGGUAAUACGGAAGGUCCGGGCGUUAUCCGGAUUUAUUGGGUUUAAAGGGAGCGUAGGCCGGAGAUUAAGCGUGUUGUGAAAUGUAGAUGCUCAACAUCUGCACUGCAGCGCGAACUGGUUUCCUUGAGUACGCACAAAGUGGGCGGAAUUCGUGGUGUAGCGGUGAAAUGCUUAGAUAUCACGAAGAACUCCGAUUGCGAAGGCAGCUCACUGGAGCGCAACUGACGCUGAAGCUCGAAAGUGCGGGUAUCGAACAGGAUUAGAUACCCUGGUAGUCCGCACGGUAAACGAUGGAUGCCCGCUGUUGGUCUGAAUAGGUCAGCGGCCAAGCGAAAGCAUUAAGCAUCCCACCUGGGGAGUACGCCGGCAACGGUGAAACUCAAAGGAAUUGACGGAAGGA